GACAGAGGGUGCAAACGUUGUUCGGCAUUACUGGGCGUAAAGCGAGUGUAGGCGGUCUGAAAAGUCGGAUGUGAAAGCCCCGGGCUCAACCCGGGAAGUGCAUUCGAAACUGCCAGGCUAGAGUGUCGGAGAGGUUGGUGGAAUUCUCGGUGUAGAGGUGAAAUUCGUAGAUAUCGAGAGGAACACCGGUGGCGAAGGCGGCCAACUGGACGAACACUGACGCUGAGACUCGAAAGCGUGGGGAGCAAACAGG
rnacentral:rRNA from 1 species